GACGUAGGUGGCGAACGUUAUCCGGAAUUAUUGGGCGUAAAGGAUGCGUAGAUGGUGUAGUAAGUUAUCGGUGGCAAAUCGAGGCUCAACCUCGUGGAAGUCGGUAAUACUGCUAUGCUAGAGGAUAGGAGAGGUUAACGGAACUCCCUGUGGAGCGGUGAAAUGCGUAGAUAUAGGGAAGAACACCGAUCAGGCGAAGGCAGUUAACUAUUCUAUUCCUGACAUUGAGGCAUGAAAGCGUGGGGAGCAAAACGG
rnacentral:rRNA from 1 species